rnacentral:lncRNA from 1 species
UUCCGUGUAGCAUUCCAAGGCGAUUUCGUUUACACUCUUGCCGGUGCACAUUCCUCAACGGCCCACGAUUGUAAGUUCCCACCUUUCCGGUCUCCUCCUCUCUUCACCAUUUUCGAUACAAUGGUCAUCUUGGAUUGGGCUUAGUCCAACAAAAUACUGUAAAAAAGAGGAUGAAAUUGAUAAUUUUUUUGAAAGAGAUUAUAAAAAUAGAAAAUAUCUAAGGUUCCACACGCAACGACCAGUGGGGGUCGACGUAGGAGGAAAUGUGCCGGUAGUUAUUCGGCAGUAUCUAAAAUUAUUACACAGUUAAUAAAUAUUAAAUACCCUUGCAUUUUAAAACAAUUACAAUAUUAGAUAACUAAUUGAUGAAACUGGAGGUCUAGGACAGUAAAACGAUCAUAGGGUUUACAGAACACAACUAAGUACAUCGAACUGAGUGACAGAUGAUUUGCAAGUUAGCGUAUCCAUCAGGUUAUAAAAUAUUUAAAUCUUCUCACCUCUAUAACUCUAUUGGGUGAAUGACUGGAUUGGAGCGAUAUUCAUCUCCUGAUUUUACCUCAUUGGUCAACAAUUUUGUCUCAAAUUGUCUGAAAUAUCUGAUACAGA